rnacentral:tRNA from 2 species
CAGGUAGCUCAGUUGGUAGAGCAGCGGACUGAAAAUCCGCGUGUCGGUGGUUCAAUUCCGCCCCUGG